rnacentral:lncRNA from 1 species
GCAGAUCGAAAAUACCAAGUUUCUCGUUCAACCGUAACAAUAGCCCCGGUAGUGUGAUACUGCUCGGCACUAAAAUGGAAGUGCUUUUGUCCCUAGUUUACUUCCAUUCGUCAUUCACGUAAACAAACUUCCCCCCGUGCAACACGAUGAAUCUCAAAUUAUUGUUCAUACCUGAAAUGUUGGGAGUGCAACGAUAAGAAUUAUGCGCAAUCAAAAUGUCGACUAUAUAAUAGCAUGGAAGUGACACGUUCCAAUAUUUAAACCUGUGCAAUACUACAAUGUCAAAUUAAGGGUGUCAAGAAUUUUCAGCUUUCCAAUUCGACAGUUUACUUAUGUAUCCCGGCAGUUUAUAAAUAUCGGGUACGACAGUUCAAAUGUCGAUCCCAACAGUUUCAACAUGUCGAGUUCGACGGUUCAAGUGUCGGAACUGCCGAGAAGCUUCAAAUAUGUUUGGUAUUAAUGCUUAUAAUCAUUUCUCAACUACAACAACUACAACAUCACAACCUAUUUCCAGAAAUAAAUGACUUAAUGCUUCAUUAAAUAUGAAAUACUUCACAUUUUUCAAAAUAUUUUUAGUAUGUUUUUCCUUCAAGAAUAUUAAAAAAACAAGACCAUCAUGUUGUUUAUAACAUUCUAAAAAAAAAAGUAAACUAUUACAUAAAAAUAUAAACAAUUCGUAACAACUGACAAUAGAUGAAGAAGAUGGAUGAAGUAAUGUCUUUUUCAGGAAGAAGAAAAUGGAUGAAGAUGAUGAAUGAAAUAAGGGUUUGUUUGACAAUAAAUUUGUUUUUUUAAUGUUAACUAGGGUUUUGAAGUAUUUUAUAUUCAUUUUUUAUUAACUAAAUUCGUAUUUGACAAUAUAAUAUUCAUAUUUUCAACGAUUAUAAUAUACAAAUUAAACAAUCAAGUCACAACAUUAAUUGUUUUGAAAAGCAAUCAUGAAGGAGCAUUAAAUGCUCCAAAAAAGUCAAAUUAAGGGUAAUUUAGACAUUUGACAACAAGAAAGUGACAUUUUUGUACAAAUUGUGUGCACAUCAAAGUUUUUUGUGCAUUUUCAAAAAAAGUGACAUUUUGGUAAAUUUCCCUACAAAAUAUAACAAAAGAACUCGAAAGAAUUCAAUUUAUGGAUCUUUAAAUAAAUGUAUGCUAGAGAAAUUAGCUCUUAAUGGUGACUGCAGGCUAGAAUGCAAUGUUUCCUUAUUGUCUAGUAUCGAUCCUAUUGCAUCUAAAAGGUUAUUGCCAGAGGGUGCAGCUGCAUCAUUCAAAUAAAGAAAGACUCGAAUGAUAAACUUGUGUUCAAAUAAAGGCAAUAAAAUUGGAAUCACUUCAACCCAUUUGCAAAACUAGAUGGAGCAGCCUGUGGUUGCCACAAUUGUAGCUAUCAAUAACCUUAAACAUUCUCUGACAACUUCAACGAUGAUGACCUGAGACUAUAGUACACAACAGUUGUACUAACAACAGCUAAUGGAGGCUUUAGCGCAAGAAAGUUGUGUGGCUGGAGGCUGUAGUACAUGGUAACUAUCUCGUUAUAUGUCGAUAAUCAAUCAUUUGAAAAUGUGACUGGAGCAUUUUGCAGAACAAUUGGUGGCUAAUUUGCAUAGCAUCUUGUAUAUGUGCCUAGCCAAGAAGUUGAAUCCAUAUACACCAUCAUCACAUUUUACAAGAAAUCACUCAUAGAAAGCCACAAUAGAAAUUUCUUGAACCCAUGUCUCCUAUUUUAUGUGAUUGGGCUAAGACUAUACAAGUGGCUAAUAAUAAUCCAAUAUAAUUUACAUCAAAAGCAGGAUUUGACAAAUUUUAUCCAUUAUACAAUUUAAUCUAUAGUCUAAUUAAGUUUUCCCAAUGCGUCCCUUUUAAUGCAUCGCAAAGUUGAAAAACUUCAAAACUUGUAUUAAAGUUCCAGAAAUUUUCUAGAAUCCAGGUACAACACAUGACAGAAACUUCAACAUAACAAUGCAAAGCUAUAAAAUUUGUAUCAAAAUCAAAUCUACUCGAGACCUAGUUCGGAAAGUAUUGUUUUGACAAUACGUAAUAGGCUUUGUAAAUUUUCUCAUUACUCAGCACAAUAGUUUCUAUCUGCUACUCAAAUGAUAAGAUUUGAACUUUACCUUCAAUUUAUAAGGCUUUGACAUUAAUUUGAAGAUUGUUCAGUAGUCCAAUGUUUU